ensembl:lncRNA
GCGCCACUUUCUUUUUUUCUUUAUUGCACCGAACGUUCAGAAGUCACCUUUACUUGCCUUUGCAGAAAAUAAGACAACCCAACCUAAGGAAGCAUCAUGCCAUGAUAUUUGGCCGUGUCACCGUCCAGCGGGCCUCCAGGAACCAUCUGAAGAACCAGAGAGGAGCCCUCCUCUUCCUGACACUUUACUUCCUUAUUUUCCUUUUCCUUUCCAGGGGAAAAAAGAAAAACAAAAAAAAAACACCCUUUGCUGUAUCACUGUGUGGGAAACACCUACAAAGCUGAAAGAGCCAGGUACUUACCCAAUGAGCAGAGGCAGGACUGAUGGGCAGAAAACCUGCUGUACUUUCAGUUGCUAGGUAUGCAAGUAGACAUAUAUCUACCACUAAGAUGAUCACAGAGUUUGGGUUUGGUGGGUUUAUUUAGAUCAUUUGUUUGGGGAGAAAUAAAAACCUCAGCAGAGAAGGGUUUUUUUUUUUUUUUCCUCUCUCUCUCUUUUUUUAUUUCCCCACCCAGUGCAGAGAUGAGGACCAGGGCAAGAUUUCACUAAAUGCCAACAGACGCAGUGUUUUAGCAUUUAUGAACUAUAACCUUUUCAUGUGUAGAUAACGCAUCUUUUACAGAUUAUCGAGCUGUUAACCUUUUAUAAUCUGUCAAUAACCUCCAGUUUAAAAUCUGGUUUUAUAGCUAGACACCGUAACCGCUCCCAAACCAUUGAUGUUCUUUUAUGUACUGUAGACAGAAGCAGUUCUCUUUUUGUUUUAUAAGGGUUCUCUGGCUUUCAGUGUAGGGGGAAAAAAAAAAUCCAUUGUGUUGAUGUCCCAAAGGAAUGGUUCUGCCUUGUCUUGGGUAAAAGUCUGUUUCUCACCCUGGACCCUGGUUUUCAGAGAUUUUUACCUUGGUUAUAAAAAUUUCGGAUUUAACCGUGUCUCAGUAUGAGGAGUCCAAAACAAGGAACACGUAAAGAAAAACAAUAGAAAAUGUAGUUUUUUCAUUGACUUCUUUAUGUCUUAGGACUGAGCCACAUAUGUUAAGAAUAUGACACUGGGAAACUUAUGUAUCAUUAACAUUGUGUGCCAAGAUUAUUUUUGAAAAGUGGUUUACUUAUAUGUGUGUUUUCUGUUAUUUUAGAUGAAGCAUUUAUUUCAGAAAGGGUUACCAUAUGCCUCCAUAGUUUGAAUGAUAAACUGAAGUCUUUCCUAGAAUGCUGUUAGGGUCUAAUGGUUAUAAAAUAUCUUCUUUGAAACAUUUCAGUGUAUUUAAUCAAAAGAUCAGAGCUUCUACUAGGAGAUGGUUCAUGGUAUUGGGGAGAUUCGUAUUCAAGUGAAACCACACACACAUAAAAGACAUGCAUACUUCUCUCCAACUCUCAUUUUCCAGGGAGAUUCCCUAAGUAAUGAACUGGUGGUACCUGCUUGUUAAGUUUUUUUCUGUUUUAUAAAAGAAAGAAUAAGGCAAGUAUAUGAAGAUCUAUUUUAAUAAUAUGAAAGAAGUCACAAACUAAACAGAUAUCAAAGGAAUACAAAUCCUAGCCAAUAGCACAAAGCAGGUUGUUCCCCAUUUUAAACCUGCAAGGACUCCAUUAGAAGAGGUGGUAGAAAUUGACUGAAUUUAUUUAUUUUUCAGAUUACUGGCUUUUAUUGCGUCAUGUCAGAUCCUUAAUGUUAUUUCAAAGUAGUGUUUUAAUAUUUAAUUUCUUAUGUCUGUCGAUGAGAUCUCGUAGGCUGACAUAGCCUUAAGCACUCUGAAUACACCACCAGGAAUUCAUAAAGCAGCUCACACGUGCUCACGCACUCAGCUGUGCACAACCAACAGACAAAGGCGUUCACCGUGAACUUGGAGGUGUCUUAGAGAUUAGUUUUGUCUUGAGAAAGGGAUAUGAAUUAGAUUCAACACUAAUCAUACUACUUAGACUCAAAAUAUGUCCAUUUUCCCCUAGUGACGGGGAGGGAACAUAAAUUUUAUUUCUAGCUGUAAAACAAAGGAUCUUUAUUUUCUUCCUGUGCAUCUUCUUGCAGGGGUUAUAGUCUCCCCAGCCUGAAUCCAUGACAGAGUUCGGUUUGUUCAGUAGCACAGGGAAGGUAGAAAGCCCUAAAGUACUGAUGAGAAUAUUGUAAUAGAAAGACAACCUAUUUAUCUAUUUUGUAAGCACUGGAACAAACUAGUUUUGCUUUCACAGUUUUGGGACUUGUUUCUACAUUUGUACCUUUAUGUUGUGUCUUUUUAUUAGCAAAGAAAAAUGUCAGCAAAGUUUACCUUAAUUUCUCCUUACCUGUCAGUGAACCAUUUAUAUAGGAUUUAAACUAUUUUUUUCUGUUCUUUUUCCCAUAUCUUUUUCUUUUUUUUUAACUCUCUAUCUUUAAGAAUUCCGUCCACACUAGUCAGAUGAAGGAUUCAGGCAAUGAAUAAAAUGGCCUCAGUCACUGACGGGAAAUCAAGACCAGUGUAGGGAGCUGUGUCUUAACCUUUUCCAACCACAGACAAGAGAUUGUCAUUGCCUUUUUGUGCCAAGGGCUACUUUCUCUUAGUCAUUUUCAUAGAUAUUGUAUUCUAGAAUUUAUUAGAUUUACAUUCCAGUAAUUAUUAACGCCAUUACCUAAUUUGGCCAUAGUUGCUGUUUUUUAAAGGAAAGGAUUGGAUAUGGGCUGCUGACACCUUUCCUGUGAAUCUAUGAUGCUAAAAUACUGGGUUGAGACCCUUUAGUCAAAGAGUUGGCCAAAUUCUGUAGGAAAAAGUCAAAUCAAUUGUUUUGUUGUUCAUUCACUAAAUCAUGUCUGACUUUCUGCCACCCCAUGGAUUGCAUCGUGCCAGGCUCCCCUGUCCUUCGCUGUCUCCUGGAGUUUGCUCAAACUCAUGUCCACUGAGUUGGUGAUGUCAUCCAACCGUCUCAUCCUCUAGGUCCAAAUCAAUUAUUGGCCCUCCCUUUAUCAGUCAUUUUAACAACUUGGCACAAAGACAGCCUGACUUCAGCAUCUAUGUUACCUAGGCAGUGUGGCUCAAACCCCUGUGCUUCUUUUAAGGUUUUCUUGCUUCCAUUAGCCCCAGAGCAUUUUGAGUCAUCGAUAGAGGAAAUAGAUUUGCAUUAUGUCAUCUAAUAACAACAAUGGAAUGUGGAACAUUAAAGACUUCCUUUAGCUCCAUUUCCCACAAAUUAUCUGCCUAUUUAAAUACAAAUUGUGUGAUUUCUAUGAAAGUGAUGACUCAGGAGUUUAAGGGUUUAUUCAUUAAUCUCAGAAAUAGUUUUCAGGUAUUGGCACUUCCAUGAAUAUUCACAUAGCCCUUUACCUUCACAGUUGUUAAAGUAGAAAGAUGGUAUUAGGGGUGGCGGUGUCUUUGGCUGAACUUUGAGUUUCUGUUAUUUACGUUCUUUGUCAGAUUAAUUUUCCGAGACGUUUUACAGUUAACUUUGGCUGAAGAGACUGGUUUGUGAGCUUUCUGAUCUCUCCUUUGGUUUCCAUCCUGUUUCCUUGGUGACCUCAGGGAGCAGUACUGGGAUGCUGUUCAGCAUGUUCGCCUGUUUUGACGCUUGCACAGUGGAGCUCGGUCCUCACUCACAUUCUAGAUUUCUCUCUUUAUUAAGAGACUUUGUGGAUGUGGCCCCCUGUGCUUGGCUUCUACGUUCACAUGUAUACUCAGCUCCCCUUAUCACUGAUAAAAAAUUAAUGCAGGAUUCUUACACCAUUAAACAUAAGGAAAAAGCAUCACAGUUACCUAUUUUUUCCUGCCAUUGCUAUUUUUGUUCACUCGCUCAGUCAUGUCUGACUCUUUGCGACCCCAUGGACUGCAGCACACCAGGCUUCCUUAUCCUUCGUUACCUCCCAGAGCUUGCUCAAACUCAUGCUGACUGAGUUAGUGAUGCCCUCCAACCACCUCAUCCUCUGUUACCCCCUUCUCCCACCCUUCCAGCAUCAGACACAUUUCCAAUGAGUCAGCUCUUCACAUCAGGUGGCCAAAGUAUUGGAGCUUCAGCUUCAGCAUCAGUCCUUCCAAUGAAUAUUCAAGAUUGAUUUCCUUUAGAAUUAACUGGUUUGAUCUCCUUGCUGUCCAAAGGACUCUCAAGAGUCUUCUCCAUCAUUGCAGUUGGAAAGCAUCAAUUCUUUGGUGCUCAGCCUUCUUUAUGGUUCAGCUCUCACAUUCAUAUGUGAUUGAGGAUGGCCCAUUAGAAGUACCUGGGUGAAAUAAGAGGAGAAACUGAAGUACUCCAGCCCAAUUCCCGCUUCCCUUCCACUAGCCAGGCAGACUAAGGGAUGAACAGCACAGUUUUUAUUUAGGAGUCUUCAAUUUUGUACGCACAAAUAUUUAAAAGGAGUUUAGGAGCCAAAGACUAACAGGGCAGCCUGGUUUCUCAGGUGGGAAAACCAGAGGCCAACAUUUAUUAAUACUUGUUGAAGGGAGGGGGUUAUAACAGGUGAUUUGGGCAUGUGGUCCCUCCUCAGGGCAGACCCUGUCCUGCUCUGAAGGUUGUCUGAAGGCCACCGUGCAUUGCCUGUCACAGCCUUUUCACUGUGACGACCACGGAGAGGAGGCAAUUUGUUGCAACACUAGCCACUUCUGAGGAAAGUUAUCUUCCCAGACAAUGUUUCUAAGGACUGAUUCAGAAUGAUCAUUUCAUGAUUAUGGAAAGCAAUUCCUUCUCAAACUGAAAAACAAAAGGUUAAAAUAGCCACUAAGCCUCCAGAACUGAAAGUGGGCACAUCUGAUUUUGAUAUUUACUUAACUCAAUGCAACACAUAUUCAAGGGGCUUAUACUGGAUCUCGUGCUUAAUAAAAACCCAUUCAGUUCGGAGUUCACACAUAGCUGUACUGAAAUCAGAUAGUCUUUAUAUUCGUUAGAAACACCUUUAUUUCAUUUUAUACUUUUAUUUAUUUAUUUUGCUGAUAGUCUGUGGGUUGGAGCAGAAUGCAGUGAGACUGAACAAGGGUGGUAUGGAUUAAGUCAAACAUAGUCCUCUAAAAGGGCUUCCCAGGUGGUGCUAGUGGUAAAGAACCCACCUGCCAAUGCAAGAGCCGUAAGAGUCGCAGGUUUAAUCCCUGGGUUGGGAAGAUUUCCUGGAAGAGGGCCUGGCAACCCACUCCAGUGUUCUUGCCUGGAGAAUCCCAGGGACAGAGGAGCCUGGCGGGCUACAGUCCAGAGGGUCUUAAAGAGUCAGACACAAUGAAGCAACUUAGCACGCACACACAUAUUCCUCUAAAAGUAAGAAUAGUAAUUAUACAGACAGUUAACAUUUGUCAAGUACUUACUUCAUGCCAGCCCCUUCCAGGAGCUUGACAAAUAUUUACUCAGUCCUCUCACAGCCAUGUGGGUUAAGUGAUGUUACCUCCCUCACAGAGCAUAUCUAAUUCAUCCUUUUGGUGUACUUCUAUCGCAUUCAUUCCAUCCAUCCCUCUCUUUUUCUCUCUUCACCCAGGACAAGGAUAGACACUCUUUAAUGAUUUAUAGUAAUACAAGCGCUAUGAACUGCUAAAUCUCAUCAACAGCUCACUUUCAAUAGAGAAAGAGCUCACGCAUGUCAUGCGGCUGAGAAUUGGGUUUGCGUCCGAGAUGGUGGUAUUCAGCAUCAUUCCGGGGGAAGGCUGCCGCUGGGUACCAUUUAGAGGCAGACAAUCCUCCUUGCUUGGGAGGGAUCCGCACCUUCUUGGGAUUAACUUCAAAAGUGUAGACAGACAUCCCUUCUGUUGUCAUGGUGAUACUUCUGCUCUGAUAGGAUUUCAGUCAUGCUGAGCACGUUUCACUUGUUUUUCUACCUUCAGCCCAGUCUAGGCUGGUUCUGGGUAUCCUGUGUUGUUUGUUGAACUAGUAGCUGGUGGAGUGACGCCCACCUCAACAUGAUUCUGAACUGCAGAGACAAACUCCUGGCUCUUUCGAAAGUAGUACAUCCCACGUUCUAUCUCUGGUCAUUGAAUGCUGGCCUGGAUUUUCUAAUUUGUUCAUUCAUUCAACUAAUAUUUCAUGCACACCUCUAAGUCUAAACCUAUGCUGUGCAUUUAUUGUGAGCUGAGAUGGUGCUCUGUUUUCGUUGACAUUCUGUCCACAAAAAUCAGGCAAGGUGGGGCUUGGUUCUGUUCUAUGGAGGAGGAAAAUGAUGAAAAGGUAAAAUACCUUUUCCUUUUGGAUAAUGGCAGCAAUUUAGCAAGCCACUGACAGAAUCUGGACCAGAAAUCUAACUCUAUUGCUUGUGCUUUAAUUAUAAGUCUCUUUUAGACAUCUGAUUAAAUUUAUGUAUGAUUUAGUUAAGAAACUGAUUAAAGUUCUGAACUGCAAGAGUCAAACCAGAUUUUUAUGAUGGUGGAUACCAUUAAAAGGAUGACUGUUUUAGUUAAAAGUGGACUUGAUUUUUUAAAAAAAAAUUAUUUGAUGGCCUUUGUACAUGCAUGUCUGAAGGGAAGAUCUUGGAGCUAGCAGGGUUUUUUGUUGUUGUUUUUUUUUUUCCCUCACUUGGCCAGUCAAAAAUUUAGGCCAUAUCCACCAAUUAGUGCAUGCUAGCAGGUCUGCAUACAGAUUUUAUAAUCUGAUGACUGCUUUGUCAAUAAUGAAAACCAAGACAAGCAAUUUCAAUUUGGCAGGUUACAACCUGUUUUCUUCCACUCUGAUUCUAUGAAGUUGCAAGUGUCAGUGUUUAGGGAAAAUCAUUUUGAAAUGCAUCACUGUUACAAUUAAAGAGGUUAUUUUAUUCAUAUGUGGGCUGCCCAUGCUUGGUGAAAUGCUUUUUUAAUGAGAAGCAGUGAAAGAAUUUAAUCACAGGUGAUCAUUGUGUUGAAUAGUAAACUGGGGUAAUUUUUGGAAGUUAUUCAAUAAUUAGGUAGAGUAACUUUCUGCUCUUUGUGAGAUCAUUUAUAAUAAAACAUAAUCUAGGUCACUGGUUGUUAGAGACAUAAUAAAUUUUCUCAGAUCCCUACCUAAUACACUAAAAAAGAAAAUACUAGAAAUAACUGAUCAAAUGACACAGGAGCAUUAAAUUGACACACAGGAAAGACUCGUUAUCACGUCAUAAAAUGAAAUGGACCCAGGGUGCCUGGAGGAAUCAGUAAACCUUCUCAAAUAUGCCCCACUAUAGAGUUAUUUCUAAAUGGAAGAGGAAGAACUCGAACAAAAUAAUGUCUAACAUUGUAUACAUUUAGAUGAACAGGAAGGAUCAGAUGGUGGUAUUUUUUUUCCAAGAAUAUCAGGGGAAAUGGUUUAGAUGUUAUAGACAAAAUAAAUUCCUGUCAUCUUUUAAUGGACUCCAGCUACAUACCACUCUCAUUGCUAACUUCAGUUUUGCCCAAGUUAUUUAUAGAAAAUAUCUCGGUGUAAUAUAGGGAAUUGCAGGUUGUUGAAAAUAAAGACAAAGAAAAUCCAAAUAAGAAACUCCAUAUUUCUGAAAUUAGUUUUCCUGAAAGUCAAACGUAUCUCUGAGGACAAGCUUUUGGCUGUAUUAUUUUUGUGCACAGGAGGAAAGUUGUUAGUAGGUUUGUAGAUAUUAUUUUUAUAAUAGAAUGUUAAACUCCCCCAACAUCAGAAAUUGUCUCCUAAAAUUACUCUAUGUUUUUAAGACUUGUUUUUAAAAAGGAUUCUAAAUAACAAUAGGGUCUUUUCUUUUUCUCCUCUCCAAUGAUUUAAUGGGAUAGAUGAACCAAUGUUUAUAUUUUUAAACCUGUAAAUAUUUUAUUUUGGGUAUUUUGUAUAUUUGUUGAUAUAAUUCCAUUUCGUGCAUAUGUAUCACUGUGCAUGUUGCUGGUUUUGAUAGUCACUCUUUUAAUGAAUGUAAGAAGCUUGGACUAAUAGCACUUUUCUUCAUUCAAACAUCUUAAAAUGAAAGUACAACACUGCCAUUUUAAAUGUUGUGUUUAAUUCAGUCAAUAAAUUUUGUUGCUUCUUUACAUUAAA